UACAGAGAGUGCAAGCGUUAAUCGGAAUUACUGGGCGUAAAGCGCACGUAGGUGGAACUGUAAGUCGGAUGUGAAAUCCCCGGGCUUAACCUGGGAAUUGCAUUCGAUACUGCAAUUCUAGAAUAUGGUAGAGGGAAGUGGAAUUUCCGGUGUAGCGGUGAAAUGCGUAGAUAUCGGAAGGAACAUCAGUGGCGAAAGCGACUUCCUGGACCAGUACCGACGUUCAGGCACGAAAGCGUGGGGAGCAAACAGG
rnacentral:rRNA from 1 species